GAUGAACGCUGGCGGCGUGCCUAAUACAUGCAAGUCGAGCGAAGCGGGGCAGGGUAAGGAACACGUGGAUAACCUCCUAUAAUAAUGGGAUAACAUCGGGAAACCGUAGCUAAACAGGAUACUUAGAGAUGGAUCCGCGCUGAAUUAGCUAGUUGGUAAGUUAACGGCUUACCAAGGCAACGCUGCAUAGGCGACCUGAGAGGGUGUUCGGCCACACUGGAACGGAGACACGGUCCAGACUCCUACGGGAGGCAGCAGUAGGGAAUCUUCCACAAUGGGCGAAAGCCUGACGGAGCAACGCCGCGUGAGUGAUGAAGGUCUUCGGAUCGUAAAUCUCUGUUAUUGGGGAAGCGGUACUUAAUCAGAAAGCCACGGCUAACUACGUGCCAGCCGCCGCGGUAAUUC
rnacentral:rRNA from 1 species